GGAUUUGUCUACAAGCUUGUUGUGCAACAAUUAUUUUUGUUGAAUUUGCAGUGGAGUGUCCAAUGUUCGUGACACGCUUGUACCAGUUGCUUACAUCGAUCAGACAGCGUCUGCUAACAAGACAACUUGUGAUGAAUUCAGAGAUAAAGUUUACAAACCAAUUGAGAUUGUUAACGACGUGAGGUGGGGCCUGGUUGGGCUUGGAGGUGCUAUGACUGCUGUGUCUGUCAUCUUGUUGGGCUAUUGGAUGUUCCGCAGCAGAAAACGAGGUUAUGAGCCUCUUUCCUCAUUGCCACGUCUAUCUACUCAAGACGUGUAGCAAACAUUCAUACAGACAACACGACAUGUAAUACAUACAAAUAUAGCUGCGUUUGCUCUUUGUCUCUGUAUUGGCCGAGUUUUGCUGUUGAAUUAUUGUAAUAGAAUUGCAACAUGGCCAAUAGAAUUGUUAUAGUUGAUGACUUGAUGGAUACUUGUGAUGACAUUGUCUUGAA